rnacentral:sRNA from 1 species
AUCAUAACAAAAAUAAACUAAGUCAGUAUGAUUGUUCAGUCUCCAGCAAGAAGCUCAAGCAAUAUACGCUCUCUAUAAAUCUAAUGAUGGUCUGAAACAUAAAGCUGUUGACUACGCAACUUCUUUUGGUCAUCAGGUAAUUGUUGUUGCCAAGAGAGCUUUACUCAAUUUGAUCAGAAAUCCACAAUUAGCAAUUUUUACAAUUGCAACAUCCGUUAUAUUUUCAGCUGUCCUUGCGGCCAUUUACUGGAAUGUUGGAAGUGAUCCAUCCAAAACUUUCAAAGAUAGGUGAGUGUAUGCGAGCUGUAAGAGGUCUGUCAGACACCUUCGUGAUGUGUCUUGUGUGUGAGGCAUCAGAUUGAAGGAUGUGAAGCAAAAAAUAGAAGUGUGUGAGGCAUCAGAUAGAAGUGUGUGAGGCAUCAGAUAGAAGUGUGUGAGGCAUCAUAUAGAAGUGUGUGAGGCAUCAGAUAGAAGUGUGUGAGGCAUCAUAUAGAAGUGUGUGAAGCAUCAGAUAGAAGUGUGUGAGGCAUCAGAUAGAAGUGUGUGAGGCAUCAGAUAGAAGUGUGUGAAGCAUCAGAUAGAAGUGUGUGAGGCAUCAGAUAGAAGUGUGUGAGGCAUCAUAGAGGUGUGUGAGGCAUCAGAUAGAAGUGUGUGAAGCAUCAGAUAGAAGUGUGUGAAGCAUCAGAUAGAAGUGUGUGAAGCAUCAGAUAGAAGUGUGUGAGGCAUCAUAUAUAAGUGUGUGAAGCAU